GAUGAAGAACGUAGCGAAAUGCGAUAAGUAGUGUGAAUUGCAGAAUUCAGUGAAUCAUCGAAUCUUUGAACGCACAUUGCGCCCCUUGGUAUUCCAUGGGGCAUGCCUGUUCGAGCGUCAUUUGUACCGUCAAGCUCUGCUUGGUGUUGGGUGUUUGUCUCGCCUCUGCGUGUAGACUCGCCUCAAAACAAUUGGCAGCCGGCGUAUUGAUUUCGGAGCGCAGUACAUCUCGCGCUUUGCACUCAUAACGACGACGUCCAAAAGUACAUUUUUACACUCUUGACCUCGGAUCAGGUAGGGAUACCCGCUGAACUUAAGCAUAUCAAUAAGCGGAGGA
rnacentral:misc_RNA from 1 species